AAGGGAGAGGAGAGGAUAGAUAGAGAGAGGGAGACACCGGCAAACGACGUCAAAAGCGGCGAGGAGAAAAAGGGGGAUAACACGGGAGGAAAACGAUAACAAAAAACAGUUUCGGUUAUUACAAUGUUAUUUAAAGUUUAUUGGUAAAUAUAAGGGGCGUGAUUGUCGACAAGAAGAACAAAAGACAGUAAUAAUAACACUAAGCAAUAAUAAGGACAAUAACCGCAAGUUAAGCAUUAAGAAAUUGUAUUGGUUUAGAAGUAACGGCGCCGAGAAGGAGGGUAAAGGGAGGUGACGGAGAUUUCAGAGUGAAAAGGACGGUCUGAGAAAAAAGAGUGACACGCGCAGACAUCUGUGAAGAAGGGAGAGAGACGGAGGCACGGAUUUGUUAUCAGUAGGCUGGUGAUCACUUGGCAGCGCAGAAAUCCUAACGGGAACUCUAAAGGACCGGAGCUAGAACUGCAAAUCAAGGAAAGGAUCACAAAAAAGGAAGGAAUUAAAAUAAACCCAGAAUAAAGUCAAGGAAGAAGAAAAGGAGAGAAACAUAAGAGAAAGCCAAACAAACAGAUAAGGACAAAGAAACUAAUAUAUAUAGAAAAUAUUACAUAUCUGAUUUAAUAGCGGUGUCUGAAAUUCUGAAUUUAUUUCAAAUUUUAUUUUCAUACUCGUUCGAACUUGCAUAUAGUCUGUACGUAUGCGUUUAGCUGUAACGUUAACGUAGCCGGACAAAGAGAAGAGACACAUUGACAUAAAGGCACCCUAUACGUCCAGCUGGUUAAACAAAGGAAACGUACAGAAAGACAGUUACACUUGAUUUACUAUAAGAUCUCACAUUUGAACAGGGGCUCCGAAGACAGUAUUAUUAAUAGAAGUCCCCGAGUCUCCCUCUCGCUCCGCUCGCUCUUCAAGUGUCGGUCGCUCUCCCGCACCGUCUCAAUGAAGGAGCCCGACGCGAUCAAGCUGUUCAUCGGGCAGAUUCCUCGCAAUCUGGAGGAAAAGGACCUGAAGCCCAUUUUUGAACAGUUCGGCAAGAUCUACGAACUUACGGUGAUAAAGGACAAAUAUACCGGCAUGCACAAAGGAUGUGCCUUCCUGACGUACUGCGCACGGGAGUCAGCCCUGAAGGCCCAGAGUGCCCUGCACGAGCAGAAGACUCUCCCGGGAAUGAACCGGCCAAUCCAGGUGAAGCCUGCGGACAGCGAAGGCAGAGGAGAAGACAGGAAGCUCUUUGUGGGCAUGUUGGGGAAGCAGCAGUCGGACGAGGAUGUGAGGAAGAUGUUUGAGCCAUUCGGGAGCAUCGAGGAGUGUACAGUGCUCAGGGGACCCGACGGCACCAGCAAGGGAUGCGCCUUCGUCAAGUUCCAAGGCCAUGCGGAAGCCCAGGCUGCCAUUAACACCCUUCACGGCAGUCGCACACUGCCGGGUGCCUCCUCCAGCCUGGUGGUGAAGUUUGCUGACACAGAGAAGGAGCGGGGCCUGCGCCGAAUGCAGCAGGUGGCCUCCCAGCUGGGCAUCUUCAGCCCCAUGACACUGAACUUCGGGGCCUACAAUGCCUACACGCAGGCGCUGGUCCAGCAACAGGCUCUGGUUGCGCAGUCGGCAUAUUUGUCGCCCGUGGCGACAGUUGCCGCGGUGCAGAUGCAGCAGAUGGCCGCCCUCAAUGCCAAUGGCAUCAUCGCCACGCCCAUCACGCCCAUAACGCCUAUCACGCCCUCUUCAGGUACAAAUACCCCCCCUACCAUCGCAGCCACACCAGUGCCAGCCUUACCUCCACCAAUUGGAGUCAACGGCUACAGCCAAGUACCUGCUCCAGCAAAUGGACAGCCAGCAUCUGAAACUCUGUACACCAAUGGUGUCCAUCCUUACCAAGCUCAGAGUCCAGCUGCAGCCUUGGAUCCACUGCAGCAAGCUUACGCAGGAAUGCAACACUACACAGUCUGUCCCCACCAUACAGCAGCCUACCCUGCUGCCUAUGGAUUGGUUGGCCAGCCGUUCCCACAGCAGCCUGCCCUGGUUGCCCAGCAACAUCAACAACCCCAGCAACAGCAGCAGAGAGAAGGCCCAGAGGGAUGUAACAUCUUCAUCUACCAUCUGCCCCAAGAGUUCACUGACUCGGAGAUGCUGCAGAUGUUUCUGCCCUUCGGCAACGUGAUCUCUGCCAAGGUCUUCGUUGACCGCGCCACCAACCAGAGCAAAUGCUUCGGCUUUGUGAGCUUUGACAACCCGGCCAGUGCCCAGACGGCCAUCCAGGCCAUGAACGGCUUCCAGAUCGGCAUGAAGCGGCUGAAGGUCCAGCUGAAGAGGCCCAAGGAUGCCAACCGGCCGUACUGAGAUGCCAGUCGAAGGAGAGAGGUGAGGACGGCCUGGGUGGGCGAGGGAAGAUGAACAGGAGAGGAAAGAUAGCAGGUGAGGAAAGGCAAGCAGGAGAGAAGAAGAUGGCAGGCAAAGAAAGAUGAGCAGGAAAGAGGAAGACGGCAGGUGAGGGAAGAUGGUAGGAAAGAGGAAGACGGCAAGAGAGAGGAAGACGAAGGCGAGGGAAUAGGGCAGGACAGAGGAAGAUGGAAGGCGAGGAAAGAUGGAAGGCAAAGGAAGAUGGCAGGAGAGAGGAAGACUGUAAGUGAAGGAAGAUGGCAGGCGAGGGAAGACCAACAGGAGAGAGGAAGAUGAGUGACAGUCUUUCAAAUUAGCUGAAGUGCAGGGUACUACUGUUAGCUCAUUCUGCCAAAGAUGGCACUCUGGAAGCCGCCUUACAGCUUUUACAGCAGCACUCCAAAGGGUUCAAACGUUGAAUGUUCAUUGAUUUUUAAUGCUGUGAUUUUUAGCUAGAUUUAUCUAGACAACUAGACCUUAAAAACGUUAAAGAUGUUGUUCUCCUACUUUAAUUUACUUUGCUUUUAUUUAUUUAUUGUGCUGUUUUAAUUUUUUCCUGAAAACAACACACCACACUCAAGAUCCUCCUGUCCAAUCAUAAAUCGUGGAGACCACGUCGCUAUGGCUAUGGUUACCUAGCAACCGAUAAAGCCCCGUCCCCCUUCCUCUCAGGUGGUUGUAACGUUUCCGUAGACUCCUGUAACAGAAAUGCAAGCGGAAUGCACUCUCAGCGCCUCCUCUGCGUCUUCGUCCGUUAGACAGCCAGGCAACCCGACUACACAGCUAUGUGAAAAUAGCCGAUGACUCAGUACAAACAUAUUUACUCGUGUGUAUGGACCGAAGACCCGGUGCAUAUGCAGCCAUGCACACACGCACAUGUACACGCACACUCACCCGGAACACUCGUCGAUCACCUUGGCCGUACCGACGAACCCAGUUUGAUAAGGAGCAUUUGACAAUGGUGUACAGCUCGUGAAAGAGGGGAGGCAGGAAAAACACAGACGAAGAUGAUGGUGAUGAGUACGGACGGAAAAUGGAACGACUGAAUAUAUCACUUCUUUUAGUCUACCUUAUGUUGUUAAGUGAUAGCUCCUGUUUCUUAAAAAGGCAACUGGAAAAAUAAUUUACACAAAAAGUGUAGGUUAGUGUGACUAAGGGAAAAAACCUUAUACUUGUAAAUAAUUUAGUUUAAGGAGAUUAAAGUUUAAAAACCCAUAAAAAGUGAAAAAAUACAUUAAAAUAAAAAAAACAAUCAGAUUAUUAUUAUUAUUAUUAUUGUUAUUAUUAUUAUUAUUGCAUUUACAAAUGAGAAAGGACUGAAAACUGAAAAGAUUUAAAAUCUCGAUUUAGUUUUUGUUGAUAUAUGGGUGGGAGGGCUGGAAAUUAAAUUAGGGGGUAAGUUUUAAUAUUUUAAGUAUUUUUAAUUUAUUAAUCAAUCUGUUAAUUCCUUUUUGAUGGAUAGGAGGAAGGCUAAAGAAAAGGAAUUAGAGGACUUUUUGAUUUUAGGAUUUUUUAGAGAAAUGAUUUUUUUUGUGAGUCUGUAUGUCAGACUUUGUGAUUGCAUAAUUGUAAUUAUGAAUUAAUAAUCACAAUGAUAAUUUAUUUCUUAUUUAUUGAUUCUCAUUUUGAUCUCUCUUUUUAAGUUAAAAUAAAAAAACACAUGACAAAACUUGAA